CACGCACUCGCAGAGCAGCGCGCGCCGCUCAGCACAAGCUCUAAGUACUGACUUGCCUCUCUGAAUUUUUAAAUGUGUCAUGCUAACAAUGUCCUAAUUGUUUUUAACUAUAAAUGACUUCGGAUUCCAAGGAUAAAACAAUAUAAGCCAAGUUCAGCAAACUCUGUCCUGGCACAUUUAUCGACUGACGUACACGCGGUUCACUUGGCACAAAGCUUCACUGCAUUAUUUUCAGGAGCCUGGUCCUAAGGCUGACGGGGACAAGUCUUUAAGGGGGUGGUGACCUUAGCUAAGGGACAGGUUAAACACAGGACACAAGACAACAAGACCCUGCCUGCGCUGCCGUCGCCACUGGACGGCGAUCCCGUAUCCGCAGAUCCAAACGCCGCAAGCCUGAAGGUCGGGGUGGUGUCCGCUCGCCGGGUAAACGGCGCCGGGCCUCGCCCUCCCCGCUGCCCGGUUGGCGGGGCGCCCCCUCCGGCUCCUCGGGCUCCAGGGCCGAGGCGGGUGCAGGCCGGGGGUCGCGCCUAGGGGGCGACAGUGUCGCCGAGGACGCGAGGACAAGGGGCGGGGCGACAGCGCGCCCCACCGUGCGCCCAGCCGGCGGGGUGGCCGCGGCGGCGUGAUCGGGCUGCCGGCCCGCCUGUUGCCGGGAGCAGGCGCGGGCGCUCCGGGCCGCCCCGCUCCGCGGCGCCCCCUGCUCGCCCCGGACCCGCACCUGACCGACGGGGCAGCUGCGCGCUCGCCUCCCGGGCCCCACUUCCCGGCCCCGCAGUCGCCCGCCCGGCCCGCCGCCCUACCUGCGUCUGCCUGCGCCGCGGCCAGGAGCGCUCUGCCGCGUCCGCUCAGCCCCGGCCCGAGGUCACCCGCCAGCCGCCGCCCCAGAGGUUGGACUUUCUCUCCCCGCCCCAUCUUCCCCCCACCAGCCCUACUGACACCAAUCCCCGUGGGCGGGCAGAGCCCCGCGCAGCGGCCCCUGCAGUGACCCGCGAUGCCCGUGCCUCCACCCCCUGUGUCCGUGCCACGCUCGGCUUAUCCUCCACUCUUGGGACGCCCAAGUGAUUCCUGUUUGGGGUCUGAGCAGCUGAGUUUCUCCACCUACCUGAAGGCGUCCCUGCCAGCUUUUCCCACUGCCCAGCACUCCCACGUCCUAACUCCUACUCAUUCCUCAAAACCCGGGUCAACUUGCACCUUCUUUUGAAGCCUUCCCCACCCCACCCCCAAGCAGAGUUGUUGUACCCUCUGCUUCCUAAGUGUCUGUCCCUGCCCAGUGUAGUUCUAAAGAAGGUGCAUCACACUAUUGAGAGUUUCUAGAGAGUAAGACCUGCAAGCCCCAUGGCCUGUGCCCACAUUAGCUGGCAACAAGGUAGAUCAAUAAAUGUGAUAAAUGAGAUUUCCUUCCCAAUUGUCUUUUUUUUUUUUUUUUUUCCCCUCAACCAAGUCACUCCUUCCUUCCAUGCCUGCCAUCCCUUUUUUGAAAUACACUUUUCCCUAGGAAUGUGGGCCCUGGGCUUGCAGAGGUGGAGAAAUCACAAGGGCUGGUCCCCUUCCUCCUCUUCUGCUGUUAGCCUUUACUAGCCCUGGCAUGAGUUGCUUCUGUCCAGGCAUCAAGUGGGCACAGAAAAGUCACCAACCCUGAGCUCAUAGAGAACCCUUCCCAGCCUGCCAACUCUUACCCAGUAGGACAGAGAGGAGGGGCCACAGCUGUGUCUCAGGGGCUCCCUGGGGAGCUCUAGGGAGUCUUAGGCACCAAUAAAGCUUGGCAGAAAAAAUGGGAGUGGAAUUGGAAAAUAGUCUCUUGCAUUGGAAGAGCCCCACUCCCUGCCACCCCCCAAGCCAGGACCUUUCUGAGCUUGGUCAAAGGUCCCUGUAAAGGGGAGGAAAAUGCUUCUCCUGUUGCAGAGUGGGGGCAGCGGAGGCCCAAGGAGUUCAGCCUUCUGAUCAGUCCCUGGUUCUCCUCUGACCCCUUCUCAGACGCCCACAGCCCUGAUCUCUCCUAGCCCAGCUGCAAAGAGGCGGGGACAGAAGUGCACACAGGGAUAAAGGCAACCUCGGCCCCAACCAGCCCAGCCCCAGAGAUCCUGGCUCAGGUGGGCGGGAACUUCUCUGCAGGCCUUGUGUCCCUGCCUGCCUCGGCCAGCCACACUGUGGGGAGCACGGUGCCCAGCUUGCGCUCACUGUACAAGAACACAGCAGUUUAGAGAGAAGGGUCCUCUUGUUGCAAAUUCCCUGGAUGCUGGCCCUCUGCCCACUUUGGCUGCACCCAGAUCCUUUCCGUCAGGGGCCAGGGGCUCCCGGGGGCAGCACACCUGGCUUGGAAAGCUGCUCUGCUCUGUGUGAAGCAGGAAAACCUGGUACCAGCCUACUGAGGAAGUGGGGCCAGAUGCCCACUCUGCUCUGCUCUGCUGGCCUCACUCCCAAAUCGUCCCGGCCCUUGUCACGUCUACACUCCAUGGUCUCCAACUUACAACAGUUUGACUGAUAAUUUUUCAACUUCAUGAUGAUGCAAAAUGUGAAAGCAAUACACAUUCAGUAAGAAGAACUUUGAAUUCUGAAUUUGGAUCUUCUCCCUGGCUAGCGAUGUGCAUGCUGAUAUUCCCGUCAACCCCAGUCCCCUGUCAGUCCACCUUCCCACAGGAAGGAGCUGCCAUGUGCCAGAGAUUGGCAUCAUUUAUAGAGUUCGAAAGGGGACUCUCAAGAAAAAAGAAAGCACUGACACCAGAAGGGAAGUCAACUUCAGAAGGACGGAAGACUGGGUGGAACACGGAGUCCUCUUGAGAUCUCUACUUCUGGGACCACCUUUACCCAUAAGGUGAGCCAUCUCCCAGGCUGGCUGCCUCUUUCGGGAAGGUGAAUUCAGUUGCCUGUAUUUGGUGACUGGUCUGAUUUUAAGGCCACCUAACAAAGCUAGGUUCUCUGACAAUCCUGAUAGUAGGUAUUGUCCCAGCAAGCGUGCUGGUGUCUGCAGAACUGACGUCGUUUGUGACAACUUCAUGUCUUCUCCCAAGAAUUCACUUCUGGUUUUCCACCUCUGGCUUCAAAUUUGUGUUUGAUCUGCAAUGUCUGGUUUAAAAUUAUUUUGUGUGAGCACUUUUUUGUUUCAUUUUGAUUAAUGCACAUCUGCAAAUGAUUCUGUUCUUAUACUUUGUUUUUCCUGCUUGUUCCUGAACAUUUUAAGGGGCAAAUAUAAAUACACAGAGCUUGAAGGAUUUUCUUUUGUUUUUGAAAAACCAACAAGUUCCCUAAAUUUUGAAGGCCAGUCAGACCAGGACUUCAUUCUGGGACUGUCACCAGUUGUAGUAUGGUCCAUUCUCAUGCAUGUUAUUUUUAAAUCAAUGGACAAAUGAUACCAAGGAUAAAUUCUUAAAUAACAACUACAGGAUUAAGCAACCUGGGGGGGGGGGAUCUAAUGUUAGAGACUUCCAACCUGUGUCUCUGUUUUUCCUUCUGCUCUGAAUCUGCUGACUUUUUUUUGCCUGUAUUUUAGACAAAAUGCUGUUACUAGUUACAACAAAAUCAAGAAUGUACUCUUGGUAAUUUUUGUUCUUCUAGAAGUUUUUUCUUAGUGCAUUCCAACUAAGAUAAGGAAUAAAAAAAGAGGCUUUCCAAAUUAAUGGCUUUGCAAACUACAGUAGCUCCAUGGCAACCAUCAAUCUAGAUACCUGAGAGUCAUCCCUUUUGGAAAUAUAAGUUUGGGUUUGCGCAGCUAACAAAUGAUUGAGGUGCUAGAACAGUUAAUUAAAUGGUGGAUAGUCUAAAAGGAAAAGAACUAGACAAGCAUUUAUGAAAGUUAAGCCAAGAUCAAACAGUUCAAAAUUUUGAGCUCAGAGCAGUAAUAAAAGGUCUCGGUACACUUGCCUAGCAUGCACAAGGUCCUGGGUUGGAUCCCUGACACAACAGGAAAACACUGUCUAAAAAAGAGAAAAAAAGAAAAAACCCAGCAAUAAUAAAAACUGUUUUCUGCCACAGUAGCAAUACUAGAGAAAAAAGCCCCAAAUGCAAUUGACUAUUUUAAAAACUACUUAAUGUAUUUUCCUAGUGGUGUUGACUAGGCAAGCAAACCAGACUGCCAAAAAUAAAAUAAAAUAAAAAUCUGUUACUAAAAUUUAGAGCUACAUGGAGAUUUUUUUAUUUGUUCAUUUGUAUGUUUGCUUUUGUUUUGAGACAGGGCCUCAUUAUGUAGCCCAAGCUGGCCUCAAACUAACAGUGAUCCUCCUGCCUCAGCCUCCCAAGUGCUGGGCUUACAGGUGUGGGCCACUCAACCCAGCAAGAUUUCGUUUUUCUUAAAUAAUUCAUCUGGCACUUCCUAAAAUCUAAACAUUUGAAAAAUUAACUCCCAAAUUCAUUUAAGAUUUAAAAAUGAGGAAAAGAAGUUUAUUAAAAUGAAAUUGCAGUUCUGGGAUGAUGGUGAACAGCAAAGAAAGAGCCUCUCCAAAAUUCACUGUCCAGACGUUAUAAUACAGCAAUGUGAGGAAGAGAAGAAAGAGGAAAGUGGGGUUGAGCAAGGAUCUGAAGCAAAAACUGAAGUGCUCAAGGACAUCAGAGACUUCAGUGAAGCGAGUGACAACCAUCGCUUUCUCCCUAAACCCUGACUGUCUGCAUAGGAGGAGUAACUAGAACCUGCAGAAGCACGGUAACCAUGGGUGACCCCAAGGCCUCUACAGAGAAAAGAAGUAGAGGAACUGAGCAGUGGACACAGAAGACUAUGGCGACUGGUGAAUUACUUUGGUUUAGACAUCUCCCGGGAGAGGGCAAUUGGCCAGUAACCACCUUGGAGAGAGGCUGAGUUCAGAACUCAGAACAACUACAGGCUGCUGACCCCAGUGUCAGGGUGAGGUAGAAACAAGGUUAAGUCAGCAGGAGGUCCAGGAGAUGAGUUCAGACUGGCAGGAGGCACAUGGAGUGUUGCAGGCUGAACAAACAGAGUUCCACCCUCAGAGCCAGAAACCACCCUGAGCUUCAGUGGACAGAAAGUACAGGCUUGCUAGGAUUAUCCACUAGCCUGUUAUAAACCUACAGCUGGCUUUCUGGGGUUAAUCAACAGAGAUCUGAACUCUGCCUACUUUGUCUACCAGUGACAACAAAGAAACCUUGAAGGGGACAUUUGUAUUUCUUUGUUUCUUCAUUAUUUUUGUUUCCUUUUUUCUUGAUUGCUUUUAUUUUUAUAUGAAUGCAAACAUGCUUUCUAGUUUUAUUAUUAUUAUUCUGUUCUGUUCUUUUCUUUCUUCUCUCCCUCCUUUUUCACCAGUUUCCCAAAAUCUGUGUGAUCUUCCUUUGUCCUCUAGCCUUCCUUAUAAUCUCUUCUUCUUCUUUCUCUUCUUCUUCUUCUUUCUUCUUUCUUCUUCUUUUUCUCUAUUUUCCCCCUAGCUCCUUUUAAGUUUUCCCCAGUGAGGGUAAAAUUGCCAUACCGAGGGCAUAUUUACUAUAAAUGAUUUUUUGGUUUGUUUUAGAUCUGGUUAUAGAACCACAAAUCUAGUUCAUAUGGUUAAAGGUGGCAGUUACUACAGUUUGUCAUUUUCUGUGUUAUUGUUCCUGGUAUGCCAAGGCUAAGCUUGUCUAAGAGUCAUAAAAAUUACUAUAGGUCAGUGCAAAAGAACCACCAGCAAAACCAGGUAAGCAACAACUUCUCAUCCCCAACAAACUGAAGAGGUGGGUCCUUGCAAUAGACUCAAAACCCAAAAGCCAGCUACACCUAGAAGACAUCUUUGAGAAGUAGGCAUUUCCUAAGACUGCUAAAUACUGGCAAUAAAGUUACUUGCCAUAAGCAAUACAUAAGCACCAACCCAGAAAUUAAACUAAAAAAUAACAGAAAAUGAGCAGAUACUUAAGCAAGAUGCAACCCAACUUCCAGUUCAUCAAAGGCAAACCCAGUGGGUAAUGAGGUGGAACAAUUCAAAAGCCGCCCACCUGGACCCUCUAAAGUAGUAACAGUGGAUAUAACAAAGCAAAUGAAUGAGGCUCUAGAAAAAGACCAAUUGAAAUAAUUUCUCAGAUAACUAAAAUAAUUUCUCAGGGAUGGUGACCAUAAUGAAAGACAUGGUUAGAAACUCGAGAGCAGAUAGAGAUUCUAAAGAAUAGAAGAGCUUUGGAAACUGAUGAAAAUCAUGAAUACCCAACAUAGGAAAAAAUGGAAUCCAUGAAAUAGAUUCAAACAGAUUGCAUCAGAUUAAAAAUUCCAUUGAAAGUAAAUGCAGAGAAUGAAGCGAUGUGAGGACAGAAUAUCAGAUACAGAAGACAGGAUUGCAGUUAGCUAUCACAAAAAGAAAAAAUUCUUAAAAAUAAUAAACCAUGAAAAUCAGUCCAACUCAUGAUGCUAGAUGAUUCAAAUAAAAUAAAAGUUUGAAAAAGCAAGAGAUAGCUCAAAUGAGAUUUAAAAAACAAAACAGACGACAACAACAAACAACCUGCUCGCAGAAGUAAUGGCAGAAAACUUCCCAACCUUGGAAAAAGAAUUUGACAUACAGAUAAGUGAGGCACACAGUUUAAAGUUAGCCAUGAUUAAAACAAAAACAAAAACAAAAACACCCCUACACGAAGGCAUUAUUAUAGUCAAGAUUCCAGAAAUUCAAGAGACAGAAUAGUAAAAGAUGCUAGAGAAAAGAAACAAAUUAUCUAUAAAGAUAAACCCAUUAAAAUCACAGCAGACUUCUCAACACAAACUUUCAAGUCACAGGCAGUGUGAAGUAUUUUAAGCCCUAAAAGUAAACCAUCUCCAAGCAUGACUGGUGUAUCCCACAAAACUACCUUUUUCCAUAACAAAGGAUACCAGAAGAAAUUCUUGGCCAGCAAAACAGCAUUCUAAAAUGUUCUAAAGGACAUUCUAGAGAGAGAUAAAAAGGACUAAAACUCCAUGAACCUCAACAGAAUCAAUCCACUAGAUAAGGCAGGCAAUUAAACAGAGGGGCAAAAAAGGGGACCUAACAAUGGGAAAAUUACCUACAAGGAUCAGUUAAUAUAUAUCAGUUAUAACCAUCAUUGUUAAUGGUCUUAAUUGUCCAAUCAAAAAACACAGAUUAACAGAAUGAAUCAAGAAGCAAGAUAAAAAUAUACUUCACAUAAGAAACACAUUUAAUUUUAAAAACUUACAGACUGAAAACAAUAUUCAACGUGACUCAGAAAAAAACAAGUAGCUAUUCUAUUUGCAGAUAACGUGAAUUUCAAUUAAAGACUAAGAGACAAAGAAGGUCACUACAUCCUGGUAAAGGGAACAGUCCAAAAGGAAGAGAUAAUAAUCAUAAAUAUAUGUGCACAAAUACCAGUGUACCCAGCUAUAUAAAGCAAAUAUUAAUGGUCAUGAAAAAUCAAAUAAGCAUUAAUUCAACUGUACUGGGGAAACUUAAUACCCCACUGUCACAAACAGAUCAGCUAGACAAAAAAGUCAACAAAGAAAUAUGAGAACUGAAUCAAACCUUUUAACAAAUGCACCUAGUAGAUGUCUACAGAGUAUUCCACUCCAAGACAUCAGAAUACAUUCUCAUCUGCACGUGGGAAAUUCUCCAAAAUAGACCAUUUAGUAGCUUUCAGAACAUGCUUAAGUAAAUGCAAAGGAACUGAAAUUAUUUCUUGCAUAUUAUCGGGCCACCGUGCAAUGAAAUUGGAAAUCAAUGGCAAAAGAAACCACAGUGUGGUUUAUGAAACCACAUUUCAUAAACACAUGGAAAUUAACAACCUCCUAAACAACCAAUGGGUCACUGAUGCAAAGAAAGAGGAAAUUAGACAGUUUCUAUAAUUAAAUACAAUGUAUCAGAAUUUAUGGGAUGCAGUGAAUGCAGUUCUAUAGCAGUGAAUUACCAUAUCAGAAAAACAGAGUGAGCUCAAAUAAAUCUCAAGCUUCUAGAAAAAGAAGAACAACCCUAGGUCAAAGUUUAUAGGAGGGAAGAAAUUAUAAAAAUUGGAGCAGAAACAAAUGCAAUGGAGACAAAGAAAUACAAAAAAAGCAAUGAAUUGUUUCAUUGAAAGUUUAAAUAAAAUGGAUAAACCCUUAGCGAACCUUAUCAAAAAAGGAAAGACAUGCAAUUGAGAAUGAAAAGGGUGAAAUUACAGCAGACUCCUCAGAAAUCCAGAAGUUCAUCAAUACCUACUUUGAGAACCUGUAUUCUAAGACAAAAAAACACAGAAGAAAUGGACAGAUUCCCAGAUACAAGUGAAUUACUAAAGCUGAAUCAAGAAGAUAUAAAAAUUCUAGGGUGGAAGCCAUUUGGGUCCCAGAAGAAGAAAUGAGCCUUUUCCUGUGAGCUAGCAGAAGCCAUGUGAGUCCCAGAAGAAGAAACAAGAAGCCAAAUUGCCCUUCCUGUGAGCCAGCGGAAGACAUGUUCACAUUUCCCAUGAGCCAACUGGUCUGCAGGCUGGGAGACAAGAACACCCCUCCCUGCUGUAAGCAACUGGCUGAUUCAGAGGAACACUGGCUGAGUUGUUGGCAACUGAGGUACAAAAACAACUUAAUGUUUGUAUGGUUCAGCUGACUUUGCAAGCCUAACAUCAGUAAUCUGAGCAUCUAAAGAGGAUAACAAUACACAAUAUAGCAACAUAGGGGAUUCCCUUCUGUCUUGCUUUUGAAAUCCAAUAUUGUUCUCACUGUUUCAUUUUGUUUUGUUUUAUUCAGUGUUCUUCUUUGAUUGGUUUUAUUCUGUUGCUUUGUUCAAUUUUAUUAUGUCUGAUGGUAUGGGCAGCAAUUUUGAAGGUAACAAGAGGCAUUAUGGUAGCCAUUGUUGAUUUCCUAUUUUCCUGUUUUGAAGUCCUGUAUUGCUUUCACUGUUUUGUUUUGAUUGGCUUUAUUCUGUUUUAUUUUGUUUGGUUUUAUUCUCUUUAAAAUAUAAAUUUAAAAAGUAAGAUAUGAAAAUUCUAAAUAAGGGGCUGGGGAUUUAGCUCAGCGGCAUAAGCGCCUGGCUUGCGAGCAAGUAGUCGUGAGUUCGAUCCCCGGUACCGAUAAAAAGGAAAAAGACAAAAAAAAAAAAAAAAAAAAAAGAAAAGAAAAAGAAAAUUCUAAAUAAACCAGUAUCAGUUGACAGAAUUCAAGAUAAAUAAAAAUCCUGCCAAUGAAGAAAAAGCUCAGGCCCUAACAGAUUCACUGCUGAAUUCUACAAGAAAUUCAGAGGAGAUCUAAAGCUGCUAUUUCUCAAACUCUAAUGAAACUGAAAGGUGAGCAAUACUCCCAAAUUCAUUCCUGAACAAGACAAGGAUGCCCACUGUACUCUUACUUGAUAUAGCUCUGGAAACAUUAGCCAGAGCAAUUAGAUAAAAGAAAGGAAUAAAGAUAGGAAAGGAAGAGGUUAAAUUAUCAUUAUUCGUGGAUGACAUAAUACUCCCUAUGGAAUUCCCCAAAAACUCCAUCAAAAGACUUCUAGAUUUAACAACCAAAUUCAGUUGUAUAGCUGGAUACAAAGUCAACACUCAAAAAUCAUUAAUGUUGGGCUGGGAUUUAGCUCAGUGGCAUAAGCGCCAGCCUGGCAAGCGCGAGGUCAUGAGUUCAAUCCCCAGUACCACCAAAAAAAAAAAAAAAAAAAAAUCAUUAGCGUUCCUGUACAUAAAUAACUUACUGAGAGAGAAAUUAGAGAAACAACACCUUUCACAAUAGCAUCCAAGAAAAAAAAAAACCCAAAACAAAACACACACACAAACACACAACUUAAUACUUAGAAAUCAAUCUAAUGAGAAAGUAAAAGACCUUUACCUUGAAAACUACAGUACUUUGAAAAAUGAGAUUGAAAAGGCUAUCAGAAUAUGGAAAGAGACCCCUUGUUCUUGGCUUGGAAGAACCAUUAUAGUGAAAAUUGACAUAUUUCCAAAAUUGUUAACAGGUUUUAUGCAAUCCCAAUGAAAAUACCAAUACAUAUUCAUAGAAUUAGAAAAAACAUCCUAAAAUUCAUUUGGAACCAGAAGAGACCUAGAAUAGCAAAAGUAAUUCUGGGUAACAAAAGCAAGGCAGGGGCAUCACCAUCUCUGACGUGAAACUGUACUACAAAGUCUCUGUGGUAAAAACAACAGAGUACUGGCAAAACAUAGAGCCAGGGUCAAUGGAACAGAUUAGAAGAUACAGAAACAACUCCAGACAUACUCAGCUACCUUAUUUUUGGCAAAUAUUUUAGCUGAAAGCAAGACAGCCUCUUUAAUAAAUGGUGCUGGAAAACUUGACUUUUCAGAUGAUAAAAAACUAUACUCAUAUCUUUCACCAUGCACUAAACUAAAAUCAAAAUGAAUCAAAGAUCCAAAUAGUAAGCAGAAACACUAAAUCUGCUGGAAGAUAGAAUAGAUGGAACUCUUGAAGACUUUGGUAUCGGCAAAACUGACACCAAACAAAGCCAGAAUUACACAGGAAAUAUCACAAAGAAUUAACAACUAGGAUCUCACCUUAUCAGAAAGUUUCUGCACAUAAACCAACAGAAAUAAACCAACAAAAUAAAAGAGACAAUAUUUUUCCCAAAAUGUGGGAAAAAAUUUUGUCAGCCGUUCCUCAAAGGACUAAUAUUUAGAAUAUAUAAAGAACUAAAAAAAAAAAAAAAGCCUCCCCCCCCCCAAUUAAAGCUCCAACUCAAAACUGGGCAUCUGAACUGAAUAGAUGCUUCUUAGAUGAAGAAGAAGCAGAAAAUAGAUACAUGAAAAAGUGUUUACCACCACUGGGCUUUUGAGAGAUUCAAAUUAAAACAACACUGAGAUUCCAUCUCACCCCAGGAUGAAUGAUGAUUACCAAGGAAUCAACCAAUAACAAAUGCUGGUGGGCUGUGUGGAAAAAGGAACACUUUCCACUGUUGGUGGCAUGUAGACUGGUGCAACCACUGUGAGAAUCAGUGUGGACCUUCCGCAAAGAACUAAAACUACAAGUUCCAUUCAACUCAGUUAUUCCCCUCCUUGUUAUCUUCCCAAACAAUUAGUAGCAAUACAUGCAUAUUCAUGUUUAUAGCAGCACAGCUUGUAAUAGCUAAAUCCUGCAAACAGCCCAAAUGCCCAUCUAUCGGUGAAUGGAUAUAGAAGAUGGGGGGAUAGUGCUACUCUGCCAUAAAGAAGGAUAAACUUGAGACAUUUCUUACUAAAUGGAUGUACUUUAAAACCAUACUCUUAGGUGAAAAGAUUUAACAUACAUAUUUAAAUAUGGACUGUUUCUCUGUGUGAAAAACCAAAAAUGUAACAAGAACCAAAGUGUAUAAUAAAUAUUGAGAUAUGGGGGGAAAUGUUCAAAUGAGAAAAGGAAGAAGAAGGGGGAACAAGGAAGAAAAAGAGAAAGAAAAAAAUGGAAACAAACCUUUUGUAAGUAAGGAGAAGAAGGGAGAGGAAGGAAAUGACAUCGAAAAACAAGAUAAAUCACACAGAGGUACAAGUUCACUAUGACGAAUGUUAUCAUUGUGUAUAUCUAAAAUGUAUCAAUUAAAAAAAAGAAAUCACAAACCAGGCAUGGUGGUGAACACCUGUAAUCCCAACUCUUGAGAGGCUGAGCCAGGAGAAUUACCAUAAAUUCAAGGCCAUCCUAGACUACAUCAUAAAUUCAAGGUCAGCCUGAAACACCUAGUGAUAUUUUGUCUCAAAAAACCAGAAACAAGCCAGGUGCGGUGGCUCAAUGUCUAUAAUCCCAGCACUUGGGAGGCCAAGGCACAAAGAUCAUUGCUAGUUCAAGACCAGUCUGGGCUACAAACUGAGUUCAAGGCCAGCCAGAACUACAUAGUGAGACCCUGUCUCAAAAAGAAACAAAAAAGGAAAAACAAACAAAACAGAAAAAAACACCCCAAACCAACCAAACAAAAAACCCAACACCCACCAAGAAAAAUACACUACUUAUAAUUCAGUCCACACAGACUUUACAAGAUUACCUACUAGGAAGAAAUUUUAAAAAUCCUUUAAAGUGUUUCAUAAAUAUUAAAAGCCUUUAACCAUCUGAACAGGUGACCAAACUUACUCCAUUUUGUCAGUUGGAUUCAACUAUUUGAUUUUUGGCAGUAUGGAGGAUUUAACUCAGGGUCUUUGGCGGCUUGAGAUAUAUCUCAGAACUUUUUAACUUUUUAUUUUGAGAAAAGGUGUCUCUAUUUUGCUAAGUUGCCUAUAUUGGCUUAAACUUGUGGUCUUUCUGCCUCAAACUGCUGUUAUUAGUACUGUCUCACUGUCUCAUGACUACAGCUCUGAAAUGGCAGCUCUGUGAUCUGUGCACAUGUAGCUAUAUGGAUUUAUGCAUGUCUAUGUCUUACAUGUUGUUUCUACAUGGUAAAAUUCUUUUUUUUUUUUUUUUGGCUUUUUCAUUUUUUAUCGGUACCGGGGAUCAAACUCACGACCGCCUGCUUGCAAGGCAGGCGCUUAUGCCUCUGAGCUAAACCCCCAGCCCCAUGGUAAAAUUCUUUAAGGAAAUUUAUUCAAAUGAUAAAUGAGCACUCCAUAAAAAUGAUACCCAAAGCUGUUGAAAUAUAUAACAAACCCAAAUAGCUUUUGUACAUAUGACUAAAGCAAAUCUUUGAUAAAGAAGUUAGUUUCAAAUUUGAUAAAAUAAAAAUGAGAACAUCAGUAUCACUAGCACAUUUCAGCUGGAUUUGCUGAUCAGAGUUAUAUUAGUUUCCACUAGAUUUUUUAAAGUCAUAAAACUACAAAUACUGCCCAACAACAAUCUCUAUUCAUGUAAUUCUUUAAUAAGACUAAUAUUAUUUAUUGAAAAGAGCUAUAUUUUUGAGUUAUUGAUAAAAUACCCACAUACUUAAGGUUCUUAAUGUAGGUCAAUAUCAACCAUUUACAUCCUGUAAAUAAGAAAAUGGGUCAGAAUGAUAACUGCUCUUCCCACUUUUGGUAUUUUUAAGAGCAGAGACAGAGGCAACAUGAAUGUCACCCCUUCUUGUAAGAAUAAGGACCCAGCAUAUCUAGUUUCAGAGGUUCUGCCCACCUCUUCCUUUAUUGGAUACAGCUUAAGAGAAUGGCUCUUCAUCAAACACAAUACAUUCCAUGUGUUGUAGGACUCUGAGUAGACAGAGUCCCAAUCUCCUGUGGCUUCUGUAAGACAUUUAGUGAAGGAAGCACAUUUUAAGUAAAUAUGGAAAGAUAUUCGGCUAAUCAAACUUUCCUCUGGAUAAACCUGUAUUAAAAAAUCAAUUAUUUUUGGGUGUCUCUCAAUUUUUGUUUUUCUGAGACAAGGUCUUCCUAAAUUGCUGUAUUGCUUAGGUUGUGGUCAAACUUGUGGUCCUCCUGCCUCAGUCUCCCAGGUGCUCAGAUUACAAACAUGUACCAGCACACCCUGCUUUAUCUUUUUAUUUUUUAAAAGAUGAGUAUUCGCUUUGCAAAGAGAUAUUAAAUUGUCAUAAACAGCUCCACUGAUGCACAAAUACCACUGUAUUCUCAGUAUGCUCUCCCGGCUCCAGCUCUGCCACCGGUGCUAGGAAGUCUCCCAGAGAUUAAAUGGUUGUUUACAUAUUCACAGGUGGGAAAAAAUAAAUCCAUCUACCCAGCCCUUUCUUAGAGGUAAGGUUUAUCUGCAUAUCCUGAUCUUUCUAAACUCCAAUCUUUCCUUAUAAAAAAAGUGUUUUUUAGACCCUGUCUCCCCCGGCUUGCUCACUUGGUUCUAGAAAUUGAAUCCAAGGCCUUCGCAUGGAGUUGAAUCUUGUACAUUUCUUCUUAAGUUUUGAGACAAGGUCUCACUAAAUUGCCCAGGUUAGGCUCAGAUUUGCAGGUCUCCUUCUUCAGCCUUCCAGAAAGCUGGGCUCACAGGUGUAGGCUACUGCGCCAGACUAACCCCAUCUUUUGUGGGUGCUUUUUAUUCUGAAUUUCUGUUCAAUUUACGUAAGUUACCAUUGUGCUCAUGAACUCAAGUGUGGUUGUAGUUCCCGAGGGUGGCAUGAAAUGGGCUGACAGAAAAACCCACAGGGCUUACCUGGUGAUACAGAAAACCCAGCCUCUUUUCCAUCCACAGCGUACUCUGGCCUCAUCAAGAGCACUGUCAGGGCUUCUACUGCCAGAACGCUGCUUCUAAGGCAGGCCCACGACACUGCCUUCAGGCUGCAUGAAAUGGGCAGACACUCCUGUCCCCAAAGGAGGGAAGGAGCCCUCCCUGUUCCCUGUAGUCCUGUGCUCAGGAAGCCUUUUCUCUGAUCCCCUCUGUGAAAGAUGGCCCACUCUGGAGUUUGUCUUUAUUAUAAGUGCCUGUUUGCAGUACCUGAAGCUGACCUUUAUCUUACCGAGUAGGUACAUGUACUUAACAUAUCUUGAUUCUUUUUAUUCCCUGUCUCCUCCCCACCUACCUGUCUCUAAAUCCUUUUGCCACAAUUUCUGCUCAUUUCCCAUACACAUGUUGACUCACUUUUGUUUUUUGAGACAGGGUUUCACUAUGCAAUUCAGGCUGCUAUGAACUCUUGUAGCCCAGGCAGGCCUCCAACUCAGUGAUCCUCCUGCUUCAGUCUCCCGAGUGCUGGGAUUACAGAUGUGCACCAUCAUGUCCCAUUUUGUUCAUUUUUUAGAAACAAAGGAUUCUGUAGAAUUCAGGGAUGGAGUGAGAUGACAUACUACACAAUCAACACCAGGUCAGUAAAGGAAUGCUGCUUUUUAUGUGUGACCUCAUACUGGGGAUCAAACCCAGGGUCCUGUAUGUGCAAAGCAUAAGCUCUACUACUGAUCUAUACCCUCAGCUCAAUCAUUUAAGAUACUCCUCUAACACAUGAAAUGUGUCUUGACAGGCUUUACACUAAUGUGAAAGAGUCUAGAAAAAAAGAUUACAGAAAUUAAGUAGUCAGCUCUUGGUAUCUAUGUGGGCACUAUACCAAAACCCACAGGUGCUCCAAUUGUUUAUAUAAAACGCUAUCAUGAAAGCCAGGGAUGGUGGUUCAUGGUUCCACUCUCAGGACGCAGGAGGCUGAGGCAGCGGCACCAUAUAUAGUGAGGCUCUAUCUCAAAAAACAAAAAAAAGAAAAACAGGAAAAAAAGGGUACUUGCACAUGAUCUAUGUACACACCUUAAAUCACAUCUAGAUUAUAGCAGGAUAUAAAUGCUAUGUAAAUAGUUGCUAUAUUUGCAAGCUGCAGUAGCACAUGCCUGUCAUUCCCACACUAUGGGAGGCUGAGACAGGAUUCCAACUUUGAGUCCUACUUCAGCAAUUUAGUGAGACUCUAUCUCAAAAAAAUAAAUAAAUAAAUAAAAGAGGUGGAGAUGUAUCCUGCAUUGAAGCUCCUAUCAAACAAAAAAAUGGAUAAAAAUAGGUAUAUAGCUCAGUAGCACAAGUGCCUGGCUGGUAAGCACAAGGUUCUGAGUUCAACUACAAUAUCAAAGGAAAAAAACAGCGUCAUAUUGUACUGUUUAGGAAUAAUGAUAAACAUUUCUGUACAUGUUUAGUACAUAGCUUUGUCCCCUGGUCUUGAUCUGUGAAUGGCUGAGUCAACAGGUAGAACUGUGGAUAUGGAGGUGGCCUAUAUUGUUAUUAACAGGUUUUCUACUGCAGCUUUCAGAGGUAUGGCCUGCUACCAUCCAUAUCACUUUAUUAUGAGGGGAUGGAAAUACAUUUGUUACUAAACUGUCUUGGAAACUGCCGGUCAGCCCUCAGUGCCACAUCACAAUGCUUCUGUGUCAGAAACAACACAGGCAGAUUCAUGCAGUCUUUAUUGAUUUGACAAAUACAGGAAAAUGUGCAAUCAUCUAUCAAAAAUUAUAUUUUACCAAGAAUUUGAAAGGUAUUUUAAAAAGUCAUAUUCACAGUCUAUCUGAAUUCUGCCCAAAGCAGUAUCCACAGGCUUGGAAGCAAGGCAAGGCUGCAUGAGAGAGCGAUCGCACCGAAGCCCGCUGCCCGCAGCUCCCUCCCAGCUGGCCAGACCACUCCGUACUCUGUGCAGCUGGGCUGGGGCUAUUCUUCAGAUCAUAUUUAAAAAAAAAAAAAAGAGUGCCUUCUGGGAAAUCUUUCCUGCUACCCAGACAAGCAGAAGAGCCAGCACCACCACAUUCCAGGGCCAGGGUGGAUCCAGCAUCCAGUUCACAGGCCCCUGGAAAUGGCUUUGACAUUCAAGGAGGGGGUUCUUUUCAGCACUGGGGUGCUUUGAGUUUUGGAAAUCUGAGGCGUUUCCUGCCGGAUGCGGGCUGCUGCAAAGGAAUCAUGCAGAUGAUCCUGAGAUGUGAGCUUGAUGAGUGUUGUUAGUGCGCUCAACUCACUCAGCUCCAGUCAGCGAUUUUAAUGAGGGCCGGGAAGAGCUGAAUCCAUGUUUAAUCUGCUGUUUAGGUAAUUUGAAAAGAGGUGUGAUCUCAAGCAUCACUUCUAGACUCAAAUUUAUAAUGAUGAUAGAGUACUGCUUCCAUUUGAAGGAAAAAACUGAAUGGCUAGUUUGUAAGUCUCUGCCGAAACUCAGCAUUCAAGAACAUCCUUGGGGGAAGGAGAAUGAAGGAAAAACUAGUCUUUAAAUACACACUGCCCAAAAGCAAGUUGAGCAAAAAAUGGUACCUUACUGAAAGGACUGGUUUCUGAAAAAAAGUCAACUAUAUAUCAUCAGUUUUAUAAGCCCUCAUAAACAGUCUGUGAAAAAUGGUUACUGACAGUAUUUUAGAGACAUUAAAGAGGUCAUGCCAAGAAUCGAGGCUCCAGCUACGUUCUCAUGAUGUAUCUUGUGCAUCUUUGUAUCCUCAGACUCCAGCACCAGGCCUGGCACGACAGCAAGUCCUUUUAAAGCGGUUUCUGAGCUCUUUUCCGACUUUAGUAUAUGUGCUGCUGAAGCGAGCGUGUGAGCCCUUUUCCUUACAGGGUCAGUCAUGAAUGUCACACAUGCAAAGCCCAGUUGUAGGGAGGCAGCGGUGGUGGCUUCCUGGAGAUGUCUGUCUCACUUGGAAGACUUCUACUUCACAUCUACACAUUGUGAUCAAGAAUACAUAUUAAGCUGUUAGAGGCCAAGUAAGAACCAAGAACAUAUUAUUCCUUUGGCCAUUUAUUAUAGAAAGAAGGGCUCUUAGAAACCGGAGUUCUAGGAGAUCCAAGAGUUUAACAUAGGAAAACAGCCUUUUUAGUUGUUGUGUAGUAAAGUUGCUGAUUUUUUUCUUUUGCAGUGCUGGGGAAUGCAUGCUAGGCAAGCACUUUCUGUUUUCUUCCAGGUCACCUACAAAACUUCCUGGUCUCCACUUUUUCUCAUUGAGAAAUUUAGUCAUUUAGAGAGCUAUGACACACUGACCAACUGAAAAUCAAAAACCGGAACAAGAGCCCUUCCUCCCUGGCACAAUUCUGAGGUCUUCUGAAUACAGCUGGCAUUAUUCCCUUAGGCACUGCAAGCUCCUCCUUGCAAACACCCUGCAUCCCCAGGCCAGGCCCAGCCACUCAUCAGCUGCUUCUCUCCCCACCGCUUGCUUCUUUUCACUGAACUGGUUGGCUGGCCCGUUGGUUGUACCUUAUUGUUGGUUCUGCCCUCUCACACCAUCCCUCUGCGUGUGAGGCAGAUCCCCUGCAGAACUUUCUGCUGUUUUCUCUGGUGACACUCUGUUUUGCAUGUUGGAAGACUAACACUGUAUUUCAGAUACCGAGAUGUGGUUCAAACCUGAAGACAUAGGAUUACUGCAACCUUUCCACACAGGACAAUAUAUAGGCAAGACUUACACCCGCCCACCCACAUCCUCUUUGUCAUGAAAGAUACAACACAUUUGGGACCCUUAUACCAAUCAGCUACUUUAGGUUACAGCUCCAAAAGUGCUGUGAAUCACAAAUGUUGUGCAGAUGACUCAGCUGCCCCUAUGCUUUAGAGAGGUUCGUACACAUGUUGCUGUUUGAGAGCAGAAAAGAUACAAUCUUGGGAAAGAAGGGGUUAAUGAAAAACAGAUGUCAGGACUACUACCAUCAGCCCCACUCUUUCUUUGUACAUCAUUUAUUUUUCCUGCUCUUCUCAACAGCCUGCCAUGGAUUAGUACCAAUGCCCUACUCCUGAAGCUCUUUUUCUCCUUGAGGCACUAGAGAUUGACCGCAGAGCCUCUCACACGUACUAGGCAAGUAAUCCAGUACUGAGCCACAUCCCCAUGACUGAAAACAAUAUUUCCAACUUCAAAGAGAACCCCCAAAUAGGUCAAAUGACAGUCAAGAAGAGCAAGCAGCAAAGAGGAAAAUCUAGCCUUUCUUCAGCUACAGGAAGAAACAGGUUCUUAUAAAUGCUUAGACUCUGACCAUGGCCAAGGGUUCUCGGUGAUAAAGAAUGCUUGUACCUCAGAGUUCGCUGAGAGGUGCCACAGGUUGCUGGCCCUGUUGAAGUGGUUUUCCUGAUGCAUAAAGCCUGGACAACACAGUAACUUCAGCCAGCACCUCCACUACCCAGCCCACUUCAUGCAAGUACACUGACAGGAGGGCAAUGUAGAUGGGGCCACAAGUGCCCGCUGUAAGGCUCCUUCCCAUCGCCUAGCCGUGAGCUCACCGCAGUUUGACCAGAGGACUCUUCUCGCUUGCCUCAGCAGCUAGUUCUUCUGACUCUCCUGUAGCUCAGCAAGUAAAAUAACAGCUCUCUCCAAACUCUUGUUCUGUACUGAUACAACUGGUUUAUAAGUUUAUAAACCACCAGGGUAUGGCUGCUGAACACUUUACCCCGGUACUGAAAAUUAAACCCAAAGGAGCCAUAUUGCUAGCCCUUUUUAAAUUUUGUGAAAAGGUCACAUUAAGUUGCUCAGAUUGGCCUUGAUCUAGGGAUCCUUCUACUCAGCCUCCUAAGCAGCAAGGAUUUUUUUUCUUUGCAGUGCCAGAGCUGAACCGAGCCUCGGGGGCAUGGAAGGGAAGCACUCUCUCAGUGAAGUACUCUCAGCUGCUAAAUGAAAUUCUAACUCCUGCCAGAGAUAAAGAAAAGCCAGGACAGAAAGUGCUUCACCAGCCAUUUCAUUCUUCUUUAAUUUUACUCUCUUUGGGCACAUUUACUCCUGAAGGAGUUAUGCUGGCAAGGCUGACAGCACUGGUUAACACAUUUUUUUGCACCAAAGAAUAAAAUUCUAGAUUAUCAGGCCCACCUGCUGCCAUGCCAGAGCUGUCUCCUUUGCUGUCGAAGACAACUGCUGUGGGGGGAAACGAAGGAAAAGAUGGGGCAGAGGAGGUGAGCAAACGUGUAAAUACACCUAAAAAUUAGGAACUUGGUGAGAAACCCAGAAUUUACUUCGGGAUAAUAAGGAACCACUAAGCAAUAGUUUCAUUAUUUCCAGAAGUUACUGAACUUGGAACCUGAGGUUAAGGCUUUCAGAAUAAAGGAAAUAAGCUCAAACUGGUAGUGGGAAGAAAUGGGGAGGAUAGACAGGGUACUGGACUGGAGAAUGUUGUUAAAAUCGACCAAUGCAUCUGAUGUGAUGCACAGUGCGGGAGGGAUAUCUUCUUUAAAAAUUAGGUCUGCAGCAAAAAAAAGCGUCUGGGAGUGAAAGCUUGAGCCCCAUUUGACCUUCCCAUUUUGCUACUGGGGCUUGCUCUCUUCCUAGUACCUCCUGAAAAAGUUCAGAAUCCAAUUAAUACAGAUUUAUUAGGUUGACUUCCAACAUGUAGUUUAAGGUAGAGUUCUGUUUGGUUUGAAUCACUUCGUUUAACUUCUUGUUAAUGGUAGUCCUGAGAGUUCGCAACAUUGGUGAAUCUCCUGCAACCAAGGGUCACAUGCUGGUAGAAUCACAGGUAUAGUUUGGCCGUCAUGUUUGCUUGUCCUUGUCCCUCAAAUCUGUAGGUUUUGCACCAAGGGACAUAGUCCACCAUGAUGAAAUAUGCUCAAAGCCAUUUCGAUAGACACCUCCUCCCCAAGGCUAAUAGUGCAGGUGGUCAGGAAAACCUGGAAGAAGCUGCCGAAGUCCAGGAAUUUUUGACUUGGUUAGAUGAGGACACAGGCAAGUCCCUGUGUCCCCCAGAUUUUAUUGUAGUCAGAGGAGAAACAUCCAUGGGAUUCUGAUAGCAAGUAUGCUAGAUAUAAAACUGAUGGAAUGCUAACUGGUCCAUAAAGGGCUGCACAAGGUAAUCUGUGGCAAAGUAGAAAACAAGCCCGAAGGUGAUGGAGAUGGGAAGGGCUGGCAACGCCUUCUUGAAAAUGGCCAGGAGCAACAGUGUAAGGCACAGGCC